rnacentral:rRNA from 1 species
AUACAGAGGGUGCGAGCGUUAAUCGGAAUUACUGGGCGUAAAGCGCGCGUAGGCGGCUUGGUCAGUCGGAUGUGAAAGCCCCGGGCUUAACCUGGGAAUGGCAUUCGAUACUGCAGAGCUAGAGUAUGGUAGAGGGAAGUGGAAUUUCCGGUGUAGCGGUGAAAUGCGUAGAUAUCGGAAGGAACACCAGUGGCGAAGGCGACUUCCUGGGCCAAUACUGACGCUGAGGUGCGAAAGCGUGGGGAGCAAACAGGAUUAGAAACCCCGGUAGUCC